rnacentral:ribozyme from 1 species
AAUAAAUAACACAAAUAUACAAACACACAAAUAAAUAAAUACAAACAAACAAGUAAGUCAAACCAACAAAUAGAUGA